rnacentral:lncRNA from 1 species
GGCUUCAGAGGCUGCUAUUGAGGAUCUCCCCGCAGCCCCAGCAAUUGAAGGCAAGCCCCGAUUUUAUGCAUAACCAUGUUAUUAUAUGCUACUUUACUACACUUAAUGCUUGUAGGAUUGCAAUGUGCACUUAAGUGUAGGAGUUGCUUGAAACCUCUAGUUGCAUGAACUUAGGAUUCCUUUUUGAGAUGAAUACUAGUAUGCUAGGUCGAGUAGCUGCUUGCUAAUCAGGAUCUCGGUAGAAGUCGAGUGAUUUUUCUAGCACUCGCGCGAGGUCAGGAAUUGAUUGUAUUCAUCUUGAUAACGGGACAUAUGCUGGUCUCGAGACUUGGAUCCUGGGAGGAUGCCUUGUCCCUGAGACGGGAAAAAUGAAUUAAGGAUUAAUGUGUGGAUACCUGAGUCAAGCUUUUGAACGUACUAAGCACAUGCCGGGAAAAAUGGUAACCGGUAAACCUAGUACCUGAGUGAAGCCGGGCGCGGACUUUAUCCCUCAUGCGACCUGAGACUGGGUCUCCCAUGCUAGCUAUGGUGGGUACAACUGCAGUCACUGCACGGAAGCAGCCGGGGUCAGUGGAGCAUUGUAUGCCAAGGCGGUGAGGCCUGGACGCGAAUGGGGAAUCGAUGGGGACGGUUGUCAUGUGCGGGGUUGGAGUACCCUGACAUGCCGUGUGUUUAGGUUUACCUUUGUCACACCCGGAUUUUAGGGGUCAAAAACCCGGGCGCGAACAUAAACACCAGGUGUGCUGGGACCAAGUCUCACACAUAUGAUGCAUAGUGGCACAGGAUCGAAUGUCACAUCUUUACUAUAUAACAGGAGUUCUGUACGAAAAUAAUUAAAUAAUUACAUCAUAUGAGGAAACGAUCCAGCAACCCAAAGUUGACUGGGAGACGACGGCCUAGACCUCUCACGAACACAUCGCAGCAUCCUCCAUGCGCCUCAUCCUGCAGUACCUGUUCUUGAUCUGUGGGGGGGUGUGAGACAUCAAGAGUGAGCUCACAUACGUUCAUCGCUCAACAAGUUGUGGGGAAUAAUGUGCAUGAACUCGCCAAAGGUGGGAGCUCACGUGAAGUGUAAGGCUUACCAAAGAGGAUGGUUGAAGCUGAGCAUUGCUUUUAAUGUUGGUCAAAAUUUUAUUAGCAAUUACUAAGUAUAAGUAAAUACCAACCCAAUUAAGUAGUAGAACAAAAGUAACAACAUCACCUGCGAUGCAAUGCAUAUGACAAAUUGAAUUUAGUUCCAUAAAUUAAUCAUGUGAGGGUCCAAGCCGCUCAUGACCGUGAGCACGGCUAGUAUACCAGUUUUACACUCUGCAGAGGUUGCGCAUAUUUACCCACAAGUCAUGUUACCCAUCUGCCAAGAGAUGGCCAAUCCCAUACACCUCUACCGAGGAGGCGAGGCAGGGUAACACUACGAGGCCUUUACAAAGUUCCACUAGCUUCAGAAAACCCGCUACAGUUUAUAGGAAGCUCCAAUGCAGGGUUCUUGCCUGACCGCCAUCGCAGCAAAAUCAACCAAGGACCUCCCUACACUGACCACUCCCCUACUGCCCUUGCCCCUUUCGGGUAAGGAAGACCUCCACUAGCUUUCCUAGUUAAUCAGCCAAGGGCGUCCCAUUAUACCCUUGUGGUAGCACUGUUUUCCCGGGUGGUCGCUCCAUGUUCGCAUUAACAAUAAUGAUCUUAACAUGAACAAUAAUAAUAAAAAGAUAAUAAAAAUGUAAUCAUGAAUAGUGUAUCUUCAUACCCAAAUCCACAUAAAGCAAUAGCAGGUACUACCCAUGAAUUUAGUAGUAAAAUCAGUGGUGAAACAAGGUAUAAAGAUAGUCAAAUCUAGGGUAACCUAUUGGGUCCCAUCAAAAUUAACCUAUGCAGAUCAUUAUAAUUAAUAAGAACAUGGCUAGGAAAAAGUAAGUGAUCAAGGGCACAACUUACCUGGCACUUGAGAUUCCAGGUACCAACUUGCUCAUCAGGUGACUCGUGACCUCACACUAGUCGUAGCAAUACAAACAAACAGUGUAUAGGAAAAAUUAACAUCACACCAAACAUAUAUGCAAAAUACAUAUUAAUGAUCUACAUAUUAAAAUAAAAUCACAGGAACAAGAAUUAUUAAUUUUGAAGUUAUAGAUUUUAAGUUAUGGACUUCCAAAAGUUCUAGGUGCUAGGUACAAGAUUAAUUAGGAGAUUAAUUUUAAUAUGACUUUCAUGUCAAAACAGUGAAAUAAAAUGAUAAACAAUAAUAUUACAAAAUUAAUGUCACUGAAAUGGAUCAAUUCGGAAUUAGAAUGGAUUUUCUAUGAAUUAAAUAAGUUUCUGAAAUUAUUUUAACACUAAAAUCAUUUUCUAAUUGAAUUUAUUUGGUUUCCUACUCCUCUGUACUGCGCGCAUCAAUCCAGAGAACUGUAGGGUGCCAUCUGUAAAUUCUUGGGCCAUCGUGCAAUUACUUAAGAACUGACUAGGAUCGCGGGUUGAUUAGCCAAUUGUUCAGGGUCUCUUUUACAAACUCACCCGCUCCGAAGGGGUAUGGGGUCACAAGAGCCGUCCAAUCACCAUCGAACCACCCUGAUCAGACCCCGAGGGUUUAUGAAGCUGUAAGCAAUCAAGGUCGUUGGAUCAACGACCAGGCGCCUGGAUUUUAAGUCCUUAGGUCGAUUAUCACGCGCCGGAUCCACAUCGGACGACCGAGAAGAGUUCAGGCCAAACCAGAAUCCGGGAUCAAAUCCCAGCCCUUCAUCUGGGAUUGACGGCCCAUAUUCCACCCCCAUCGCCCAAGCCUGGUAACGGUGGCGCUGCCUGAGGCCACGGCGAGGCAUCGCCGGUGAGCCUACUGGAUGGCGGUCCUGUGCUCUAGAUCCCAAUCCGGGGAGCGCUACACGGAGACAAGAUCCCAACAACAGAUAUAGGUUCACGUACCAAUGGUGAGGAUGCCGAUAUUCUCCGACCACGGCGCUAGUGGUUCCGCGGCGGAGCAGCGGCAUGGGUGAGAAAUUCUGGUGGCCACGAGGUCCUUCUCCGCCCCCCGACGACAACGCAAGCAUCGAAGCUCGCCGUCGACCAACGAACCGAGUGCAUCCAUCCCAAUACCUCGCGCGUGAAGAAGAUCCGUACCGCCGGUCACCACGGCAUCUUCCUUCUCUCCUUCUCUCUUGCCCCAGUCGGUGGUGGUGGCCAACACAGCAGCGGCAUCUGGCUUUCUCUCUCCAUCUCUCUCCGCUGCUUGCUCGGAGGCCUCACGAGUCUCGACGAUG